UACGAAGGGGGCUAGCGUUGCUCGGAAUCACUGGGCGUAAAGCGCACGUAGGCGGAUUGCUAAGUCAGGGGUGAAAUCCUGGAGCUCAACUCCAGAACUGCCUUUGAUACUGGCGACCUUGAGUCCGGGAGAGGUGAGUGGAACUGCGAGUGUAGAGGUGAAAUUCGUAGAUAUUCGCAAGAACACCAGUGGCGAAGGCGGCUCACUGGCCCGGUACUGACGCUGAGGAGCGAAAGCGUGGGGAGC
rnacentral:rRNA from 1 species